UUCUACUUUGCCUAAAAUAUUUACAAAGAAAAAUAUCUGACAUUCACAGUAAAUCAGACAAUGUUUCAGGCCCCUGACAUAACCCGUGGAGGCAGUUUGCAUGGUCUCCAAGAGGAGGGAAAGGAGAUCCCCUUUCUGGACAGUUUUUUUGGUUCAGUGCAGAAAGCUUGGCUCCCGGGGAAGGUGGGGAGGGUUAGAUAAAAUGGGAUGGGAACACCGAGGGGUCGCAGCGGUCUGUUUUUCCAGCUUGAUCCGCUCCUCACUUUCCCCAGCCAUCCUGAAAAGCCCCGAGGGUCUCCGGUGUAACACACCCUGCUUCCUCCGGGGUUUUCUCUCGCUGGCGGGCUGGGGAUGCCCGGGAGGAGUUCCUCAUCCCUGCCUUCCCAUCCCCACAGCAGCACCUCCGCCCGUGCCUUUGUCUGGCCGGCCCCAAAGCCUCCCCCGUGCCCGAAACCUCCAUCCCGCCGCGGGAAGGGCUGGGGGGAGCCCGGCUCCUCGCCCGGUGGCCCCUCGCAAGGGAGGGAAAAACAAGGGAGCUCUGCGAGCUGAGGACUUCACCCCGCGCUCCAGCUCCCCUCACCCAGGCCACAGCUCACACAAAGCUGAUCUGGUGGAAGCCUCCAGGUCUCCUUUUCUCCCUGCUUGGCUAUCAUCUCUU
rnacentral:lncRNA from 12 species